AAAAGGGAAAAAUACAAAAAAAAAGAUUGAAAAUAUAGGAUUUGAACUCAUGACCUUAUGCUUGCAUUCCUUACACAUGCUUCUUUACCAAGUGUCUCAUUUCAUUUAUUUGAAAUAAAGUGGCGCUAGAAAACAUGUGAAGGGUGUGCAAAAUUUGUGGUACGGCAAAUAGAAUAAACUCUAGAGUUUCCUAAGCACAAUAGUAGAAGAAGGUGCAUCAAAAUGCACUGAUCAAAUUCCCCCACACUUGAAUUUUUGCACUCC
rnacentral:lncRNA from 1 species